rnacentral:rRNA from 1 species
UACGAAGGGUGCAAGCGUUACUCGGAAUUACUGGGCGUAAAGCGUGCGUAGGUGGUUGUUUAAGUCUGUUGUGAAAGCCCUGGGCUCAACCUGGGAACUGCAGUGGAAACUGGACAACUAGAGUGUGGUAGAGGGUAGCGGAAUUCCCGGUGUAGCAGUGAAAUUCGUAGAGAUCGGGAGGAACAUCCAUGGCGAAGGCAGCUACCUGGACCAACACUGACACUGAGGCACGAAAGCGUGGGGAGCAAACAGG